rnacentral:rRNA from 1 species
AUUGAACGCUGGCGGCAUGCCUUACACAUGCAAGUCGAACGGCAGCACGGGGGCAACCCUGGUGGCGAGUGGCGAACGGGUGAGUAAUACAUCGGAACGUACCCAGUAGUGGGGGAUAGCCCGGCGAAAGCCGGAUUAAUACCGCAUACGACCUACGGGUGAAAGCGGGGGAUCGCAAGACCUCGUGCUACCGGAGCGGCCGAUGUCAGAUUAGGUUGUUGGUGGGGUAAAAGCCUACCAAGCCGACGAUCUGUAGCUGGUCUGAGAGGACGACCAGCCACACUGGGACUGAGACACGGCCCAGACUCCUACGGGAGGCAGCAGUGGGGAAUUUUGGACAAUGGGCGCAAGCCUGAUCCAGCCAUGCCGCGUGCGGGAAGAAGGCCU